GACGAACGCUGGCGGCGUGCUUAACACAUGCAAGUCGAGCGGUAAGGCCCUUUCGGGGGUACACGAGCGGCGAACGGGUGAGUAACACGUGGGUGACCUGCCCUCAGCUCUGGGAUAAGCCUGGGAAACCGGGUCUAAUACCGGAUAUGACUCCAUGACGCAUGUUGUGGGGUGGAAAGCCUUGUGCGGCUGAGGAUGGGCCCGCGGCCUAUCAGCUUGUUGGUGGGGUGAUGGCCUACCAAGGCGACGACGGGUAGCCGGCCUGAGAGGGCGACCGGCCGACACUGGGACUGAGACACGGCCCAGACUCCUACGGGAGGCAGCAGUGGGGAAUCUUGCGCAAUGGGCGAAAGCCUGACGCAGCGA
rnacentral:rRNA from 1 species